GCCAUAGUAGCUCAAGGGAUGGACAUUCCAUCUACGGCGAGAGUGAUGGGGUAACAAAACGUUCCCCCAUAGAUGUUGGUUCGAGUCCAGCCUACGGUA
rnacentral:tRNA from 1 species